GGAACUUUAGUUUAAUUAAAAUAUCUGUAUUGCAAUCAGAUGAUGUAAUAUUUUGCAAGUUCUA
rnacentral:tRNA from 2 species